UAGGAAUAAUAAAGUUCUGGCAUCUGAGCUAAAAGCUAUUGGGAUUACAACUAAUAUUAUUUGGAGUUUUGAAUUCAAGUAUAGUUGUCUGAUGGAUCAUUAAGAUAGGAAUCCACCAUAAGAGGAAAAGCCACAAACUACUCAGAAUCCUGUAUUGGGACAGGUGAAGAUUCUUAUCUAGAAAAAAAUGGAAAGGGCAAUCUCAACACAGCUGGGAUGAGAUCCUUCUGACUUAUGAAAUUGUUAUCAUCAAGAAAGACAAGUGGUAGAUGUCAGGAGACUAACAAACAUUCAUGGGUCCUGGAAGGGGUGAGGAGAAUGAGAAGUGGGGAGAAGAAUGACACUGAAGCUGGCAGCCAUCAGAGACUAUUGGAAUACCACAAAUUACCCAAAAUGCCAUCUUCCAGCUGUCCAGAGACUAUGCUACAUGGAGAGAACCUUACCAAGUAUCAGGCUCCUUGGAAACAGAUAAAAUUCCACCAGCAGCCCUUUCCAUCACCACAACAACUCCAUCAUCAAGGCCAUUCCACUGCCUUCUUCCCUCUCUCAAUAAAGCUUUCUCCCUCACCAUGGAGAUUGUCUGUGCCAUUGAUUCUUUGGACAAGACCUCAUUCUUGUUCCCCAGCAUCAAUUUCACCUAGUUUUGAGAGGAUAUUUGU